rnacentral:rRNA from 1 species
UCGGGAAACCGUAGCUAAUACCGGAUAAUAUUUUGAACCGCAUGGUUCAAAAGUGAAAGACGGUCUUGCUGUCACUUAUAGAUGGACCCGCGCCGUAUUAGCUAGUUGGUAAGGUAACGGCUUACCAAGGCGACGAUACGUAGCCGACCUGAGAGGGUGAUCGGCCACACUGGAACUGAGACACGGUCCAG